rnacentral:rRNA from 1 species
CUGAUCUUCAGCAUACUGAAACCCGAAAAAAAUCCUUACCGGGUUUACAAACUUCCAAAACCCUGUAAACA